ACACGCACAGGAUUCAGGGGGAAGACUUCCUUCCUAUCACCGCCAGCUUAUCUCCAAUCAGCUGAUGGUUAAUGUGUUCAAGACAGAGCGAUCAUGAUCUGACGCUGGCCAGACAGCGUCUGCACUGCGUUAUUAUCGAAGCGGAGGAUGUCAUUAUGGAGGGUGAGGUGAAGCACACGGGCAGCACUUUGCUCCACGGCCCCAACGGGCACACCUGGCUCAGGUCUAGAGGAAGAAAGACAAGAGGACAGUAACAGAAGAACUGGACACCAGUAAGAGUGAAAGGAGCACAGUUUAUUAAAUAAAUGAAACCCUGUGUCCUGGAAGAAAACAGAAUGAAGCGAGUGUGCUGGUUCAAACAAAAAGACAAAACAAAGGGAAUUGGUUCGACGGAGCCACCCAAAAAAAUGGAGGGAGCCACAGUCCAGUGAAUGAACGCCGUGAGCUGAAGCAGACCGACCGAACUGUGAAGCGCGUCUUGGAUUUCAACAGGUAAACUGAAUGUUUAAAACGUUACAGAUGUUUGGAUUUCUGUAUUUUUUGCUUGAUUUAUAGUUUAUUAAUGUUUUAUUCAUCGAUGGGUGGUUUGCAGGAUCUCUGCAGAUCCCGUUGAUGAAGCCGUCCAUAUCCUGGCAGUUUUCCACUUCCAUUCAUUUCUUUCUCCGUGACAGACCAGAUCUCCUCCAACUCUGUGAUGUUUCUGUCUGAAGAGGACUAGCUUUCAGAAUUUUCAAUGUUCCUGUGCUAACGUAACAGACUGUUGUCAUUCCUCGUCGUUUAGUGUUGAAGCGAGACGUUUCAUUUGGAGAAGGGGGCGUCCGGAGCUCCGUUCACGUUCUCACGUUCUUUCUGCGCAGGACAGAGAGUCAGAGACACGACGUGAGGUGGGGAAAGGGCUUCUGGGUUUGUGGGUGAAGUGGCUGUCCUGCCAUCGUGUCUCUGAAUUCAGUUAUUUUACAAAUGAAACUCCGCACAACUACAGAAAGUCAGCUUCACUGAGUCGCCAAAAGGUUCAGAAUUUCUUUGUUUUUAACACCAAUGUGGAAAUAAAUCUUUACAAUGUUCUCCACGUCCUUCAUCCUCGAGCGCGGCUCUGAUAAACAGACAACUUUGGUUUCUUUCUCAGUGAUUUACAACUUUAAAUCUCAGAAAUUUAAGAGAUUAAUAGUCAUGAAUGUAGCCUAUGAUUUUAAAGUCAUUAACAUACAAUUUUAUUCUUGUAAUUUAGCAGUUACAACUUUUUUCUAGUAAAUUUAUGAGAUUUAAAGUCGUAAUUAAAAAAAAAAAAUCUUUAUAAAGUGGCCCAAUACUCCGUCGUAAAUUGGAACCUUUGUCAAACAUAAAAUAAGUCAUGGAGACUGCUGAUCCAGCCAUGUCGACCGUCAGAGUCAGCAGUUCCCCCUAAACAAAACUACCUAAAGAAAACAAAUAAACAAAGCCCAAAAACUAAG